GUCGAUAUGGCCGAGUGGUUAAGGCGAUUGAUUAGAAAUCAAUUGGGCUUGCCCGCGCAGGUUCGAAUCCUGCUGUCGACG
rnacentral:tRNA from 2 species